rnacentral:rRNA from 1 species
AGUGAACGCUGGCGGUAGGCCUAACACAUGCAAGUCGAACGGCAGCACAGUAAGAGCUUGCUCUUACGGGUGGCGAGUGGCGGACGGGUGAGGAAUACAUCGGAAUCUACUUUUUCGUGGGGGAUAACGUAGGGAAACUUACGCUAAUACCGCAUACGACCCACGGGUGAAAGCAGGGGAUCUUCGGACCUUGCGCGAUUGAAUGAGCCGAUGUCGGAUUAGCUAGUUGGCGGGGUAAAGGCCCACCAAGGCGACGAUCCGUAGCCGGUCUGAGAGGAUGAUCAGCCACACUGGAACUGAGACACGGUCCAGACUCCUACGGGAGGCAGCAGUGGGGAAUAUUGGACAAUGGGCGCAAGCCUGAUCCAGCCAUACCGCGUGGGUGAGGAAGGCCUUCGGGUUGUAAAGCCCUUUUGUUGGGAAAGAAAAGCAGCAGGUUAAUACCCCGCUGUUCUGACGGUACCCAAAGAAUAAGCACCGGCUAACUUCGUG